UGGGGAAUAUUGCACAAUGGGCGCUAGCCUGAUGCAGCCAUGCCGCGUGUAUGAAGAAGGCCUUCGGGUUGUAAAGUACUUUCAGCGAGGAGGAAGGCGUUGUGGUUAAUAACCGCAACGAUUGACGUUACUCGCAGAAGAAGCACCGGCUAACUCCGUGCCAGCAGCCGCGGUAAUACGGAGGGUGCAAGCGUUAAUCGGAAUUACUGGGCGUAAAGCGCACGCAGGCGGUCUGUCAAGUCGGAUGUGAAAUCCCCGGGCUCAACCUGGGAACUGCAUCCGAAACUGGCAGGCUAGAGUCUUGUAGAGGGGGGUAGAAUUCCAGGUGUAGCGGUGAAAUGCGUAGAGAUCUGGAGGAAUACCGGUGGCGAAGGCGGCCCCCUGGACAAAGACUGACGCUCAGGUGCGAAAGCGUGGGGAGCAAACA
rnacentral:rRNA from 1 species